GACGAACGCUGGCGGCGUGCCUAAUACAUGCAAGUAGAACGAGUUGCGAACGGGUGAGUAACGCGUGGUAACCUGCCUCAUAGCGGGGGAUAACUAUUGGAAACGAUAGCUAAUACCGCAUACCAUCAGAUGUGCCCAGAUGGGAUUAGCUAGUAGGUGGGGUAACGGCUCACCUAGGCGACGAUCCCUAGCUGGUCUGAGAGGAUGACCAGCCACACUGGAACUUGGACACGUGCCAGACUCCUACGGGAGGGAGCAGGGGGGAAUAUUGCACAAUGGGCGCAAGGCUGAUGCAGCCAUGCCGCGUGUAUGAAGAAGGCCUUCGGGUUGUAAAGUACUUUCAGCGGGGAGGCGUUACCCGCAGAAGAAGCACCGGCUAACUCCGUGCCAGCAGCCGCGGUAAUUC
rnacentral:rRNA from 1 species